UUUUUUAACAAACUUUUCCUAGAAAACUUCUGCAAAGAGCGGCAGUUAGGAGGCUUCAGGUUCCCUCGUACACCCAUCGGCUGGUUUGCAUAUUCUGAGGACAAAUGUGAAGAAGGAACGAGUGGUGCUGGUAAACCUCAGGCUUCAGCCAGGUGUUUGUCCAUGAAUGGAUCACCAGGUUUCAGCCCUCCACAGAUCUUCCAGUGUGACCUGACGCUCAGUGACAUACAAAAAAAUCUCACAAGUCCAGCUGAUUUAGAGACACUGGCGACCAGCACUCAGAUUCUGACAUCCAAAGCAGAAGAGCUGACGGCUGAAAAUGUUACAGCAGCGGCUGAGAUAGUCAACACACUGCUGCUGUCUGCAAACGCCACAGAGGCUGACGGUGACUCUGGACCAGCUCUCAGUGAACCUCAGCCUCAGUCAAAAUACAUCUCAAUCUCAGGUGGUUCAGCCAAACCUGGUGGUCCAGUCGGCACAGAUCCCUGCUGCAGACACUCACGGAGUCCAGUUCACGUCUCUCAGAGGGAUUUCUGGGAAUUUUUUGCCCAACAGAAUUCAUCUGAACACAAAUGCAACACAGGUCGUGGUGGAAAACAGUUUCAUAGCUGAUGCCCUCAUUUACAUACGAUUCCCACCAG
ensembl:lncRNA